ACCUUAAAUACAGCCAAGGAAUGUCUACUAAAACUGCUCGCAAGAAAUUUCAAAUAAGAUAAUUCAGAACUUUAUCCCUCAAGAUUAAUCUCGAUAGAAGAAAAAAAAUUUAAUUUAAACACAGCGGACGAAAUUAUAUGCUGGCUACGUUAAAUAUGAAACACACAGUUUAUUUAAUGGACAAAUUCUGGCCGAUUGGAAAUAAUUAAAAGUUUGAAAUAAAUACAGAUAUCAUGUUGAACUUUGCAAUAAACUCGGGUAACUCGGGCAAAAUCAAAUACCAUCCUGAAAAUUGAUCAAUAGUUAGAAAAAUGUAAAAUCCGCACCCGUGUAGAAAAGUAACUCUUCAAUCCGCGUGUGACAGCGGAAACUGCAAAGUGAAAAGUUCCAACGACGGCCGAAAGAGCAGUCGUUCCCUUCACAUCCGGUCUGACGGGAGUCGGAAAAAUUAUUUUUACUUCAAUCGCGAGUGUUUCGUCGCAGUUGUCGCGUGUUGCUUCGAACUUGCUAUUGUAAGCUUCUUAAAAACUAUACUUUACAAUAUUUUUCUGUGAUGAUGUUUUUAUACACUACAAGGCCUUGAUGCAUCAUAUGGUGUUUCUUUUGUAAAAGCAAAAAAAAA